CCUCCUGCCUCUCCCCACGUACAAAGGCGCAGGUCCGCUGCGCUCCGCUGGCCGCCGGUUCCAGCUAGCCCUGCGUCUGUGCCGCGCCUCCCCUGCUAGGUUCCAGCAGACUCCCUCAAGAUGCCGUCUCAAAUGGAGCAYGCCAUGGAGACCAUGAUGUUCACGUUUCACAAGUUUGCCGGAGACAAAGGCUACCUGACCAAGGAGGACCUGAGAGUCCUCAUGGAGAAGGAGUUCCCUGGGUUUUUGGAA